rnacentral:rRNA from 1 species
CCUACGGGAGGCAGCAGUAGGGAAUCUUUCACAAUGGGCGAAAGCCUGAUGGAGCAACGCCGCGUGCAGGAUGAAGGCCUUCGGGUUGUAAACUGCUGUUAUAAGCGAGAAAUAUGAUGGUAACUUAUUAAUCAGGCUCGGCUAACUUCGUGCCAGCAGCCGCGGUCAUACGUAGGAUCCGAGCAUUAUCCGGAGUGACUGGGUGUAAAGGGUUGCGUAGGUGGCAUAAUAAGUAGCUAAGGAAAUCUGGUGGCUCAACCAUUCAGACUAUUAGCUAAACUGGUAAGCUCGAGAGCAUUAGGGGUAAGUGGAAUUUCUAGUGUAGGAGUGAAAUCCGUAGAUAUUAGAAGGAACACCAAUGGCGUAGGCAGGUUGCUGGGACGGAUCUGACACUAAGGCACGAAAGCGUAGGGAGCAAACGGGAUUAGAUACCCUUGUAGUC